GCCCUAGUAGCUCAGGGGAUAGAGCGCCCGCCUCCUAAGCGGUAGGUCGCAGGUUCGAAUCCUGCCUAGGGCA
rnacentral:tRNA from 1 species